rnacentral:rRNA from 1 species
UACGUAGGGUGCAAGCGUUAAUCGGAAUUACUGGGCGUAAAGCGUGCGCAGGCGGCUUUGUAAGACAGAUGUGAAAUCCCCGGGCUUAACCUGGGAACUGCAUUUGUGACUGCAUGGCUGGAGUGCGGCAGAGGGGGAUGGAAUUCCGCGUGUAGCAGUGAAAUGCGUAGAUAUGCGGAGGAACACCGAUGGCGAAGGCAAUCCCCUGGGCCUGCACUGACGCUCAUGCACGAAAGCGUGGGGAGCAAACAGG